UGGGGGAUCGUCUAAUAGGCAGGACAGCAGACUCUGGAUCUGCGUGUUGGGGUUCGAGUCCCUAUCCCCCAG
rnacentral:tRNA from 1 species